UACGUAGGGUGCAAGCGUUGUCCGGAAUUAUUGGGCGUAAAGAGCUCGUAGGCGGUCUGUCGCGUCGGCUGUGAAAACUCGGGGCUCAACUCCGAGCUUGCAGUCGAUACGGGCAGGCUAGAGUUCGGCAGGGGAGACUGGAAUUCCUGGUGUAGCGGUGAAAUGCGCAGAUAUCAGGAGGAACACCGGUGGCGAGGCGGGUCUCUGGGCCGAUACUGACGCUGAGGAGCGAAAGCGUGGGGAGCGAACAGG
rnacentral:rRNA from 1 species